rnacentral:rRNA from 1 species
AACGAACGCUGGCGGCAUGCCUAACACAUGCAAGUCGAACGAAGUCUUCGGACUUAGUGGCGCACGGGUGCGUAACGCGUGGGAAUCUGCCCUUGGGUUCGGAAUAACAGUGAGAAAUUACUGCUAAUACCGAAUGAUGACUUCGGUCCAAAGAUUUAUCGCCCAAGGAUGAGCCCGCGUAAGAUUAGCUAGUUGGUGAGGUAAAGGCUCACCAAGGCGACGAUCUUUAGCUGGUCUGAGAGGAUGAUCAGCCACACUGGGACUGAGACACGGCCCAGACUCCUACGGGAGGCAGCAGUGGGAAUAUUGGACAAUGGGCGAAAGCCUGAUCCAGCAAUGCCGCGUGAGUGAUGAAGGCC